rnacentral:misc_RNA from 1 species
GUAGGUGAACCUGCGGAAGGAUCAUUAAUGAAGUUAUACUUCUCAACCUGUGAAUCGACUUGUUGCUUUGGUGGGUAGGUUAGCUUUUGUUAGCUUUUGGUCGUUGUGCUUUUAGCAUGAUGAUGCCCACCAAAGACAUUUAUCCACCCUUUCUUUACAGUCUGAUUUUUGUUGUAACAAACUAAAAUAAAACUUUCAACAAUGGAUCUCUUGGCUCUG